rnacentral:rRNA from 1 species
CUCGAAAGCCUGUCCCAGUUCGGACUGGAGUCUGCAACCCGACUCCACGAAGUUGGAUUCGCUAGUAAUCGCGCAUCAGCCAUGGCGCGGUGAAUACGUUCCCGGGCCUUGUACACACCGCCCGUCAAGCCAUGGGAGCCGGGGGCGCCUGAAGUCCGGGACCGCGAGGACCGGCCUAGGGCGAAACUGGUAACUGGGGCUAAGUCGUAACAAGGUAUC